UGUGGGGGACACCAAAGAUAAACAGUAGAACUUGGUAGCUUCCAUGAUCCAUGAAUCAAAUGUAUAAUUCUAAAUUAGAGAUCCAGGAUCCACACUGUUCCUCAAGAAAGGGCCUACUAAGCUGGAGUUUGGGAAAGUCAGUAAAAACAAUCUAUGGAUACAUCUUAAUUUCUGAAAUCCUUGUGCAGAUCAGGAAAUCUGGGUAAAACGUGGAAACUACCAGGACCAAAAGAAUGUCAAGCCCUGGAAGUAGGAGUAAUCACAGGAGAGAGGGACAUCUCCAAAACUCUUCAGCAUCUGCAGUUUUCCAGAACGUGCUGAUUUCCAAAGAUUAAGCCAAAUUACCAGUAUGAAGAAAGAGUCAAUAAAUGUUGACAGACAGAAAAUGUGGUUGAAGAAA